rnacentral:rRNA from 1 species
GUGGGGAAUCUUGCGCAAUGGGCGAAAGCCUGACGCAGCCAUGCCGCGUGAAUGAUGAAGGUCUUAGGAUUGUAAAAUUCUUUCACCGGGGACGAUAAUGACGGUACCCGGAGAAGAAGCUCCGGCUAACUUCGUGCCAGCAGCCGCGGUAAUACGAAGGGGGCUAGCGUUGCUCGGAAUUACUGGGCGUAAAGGGCGCGUAGGCGGACAGCUUAGUCAGAGGUGAAAGCCCAGGGCUCAACCUUGGAAUUGCCUUUGAUACUGGCUGUCUUGAGUUUGGGAGAGGUGAGUGGAACUCCGAGUGUAGAGGUGAAAUUCGUAGAUAUUCGGAGGAACACCAGUGGCGAAGGCGGCUUACUGGUCCAUUACUGACGCUGAGGUGCGAAAGCGUGGGGAGCAAACAGGAUUAGAAACCCCAGUAGUCC